rnacentral:rRNA from 1 species
CUGGGGGCAUAAUGGCAAUGGGCGAAGCCUGCACCAGCCAUGCCGCGUGUGUGAAGAAGGUCUUCGGCCUGUAAGCGCCCUCGGCCGGAACGAAACGGUGGCUGCUAACACCCUCCCCUACUGACGGUACCGGAGAUGAUGCACCGGCUAACUACGUGCCAGCAGCCGCGGUAAUACGUAGGGUGCGAGCGUUAAUCGGAAUUACUGGGCGUAAAGCGUGCGCAGGCGGUGGCUCAAGUCAGAUGUGAAAUCCCCAGGCUUAACCUGGGAAUUGCAUUUGAAACUAGGUCGCUAGAGUUUGGCAGAGGGGGGUGGAAUUCCACGUGUAGCAGUGAAAUGCGUAGAGAUGUGGAGGAACACCAAUGGCGAAGGCAGCCCCCUGGGCUAAAACUGACGCUCAUGCACGAAAGCGUGGGGAGCAAACAGGAUUAGAUACCCUGGUAGUCCACGCCCUAAACCAUGUCAACUAGUUGUCGGGAGAGCAAUCUCUUGGUAACGCAGCUAACGCGUGAAGCUGACCGCCU